rnacentral:rRNA from 1 species
AGAAUCAAUGCUGGCGGCGUGCCUAACACAUGCAAGUCGCACGAGAAAGGGACUUCGGUCCUGAGUAAAGUGGCGCACGGGUGAGUAACACGUGAAUUAUCUACCUCCGAGUGGGGAAUAACUGAGAGAAAUCUUAGCUAAUACCGCAUAACACUUACGAGUCAAAGCAGUAAUGCGCUUGGAGAGGAGUUCGCGGCCGAUUAGUUAGUUGGCGGGGUAAUGGCCCACCAAGACGAUGAUCGGUAU